rnacentral:tRNA from 1 species
GCCUUCGUGGUGUAAUGGUCAGUACACUCGGUACGUAUUCGAGUGGUCAGAGGUUAGAGUCCCGGUGAGGGCA